GUUGAAUUUGACUUCCGGUUCAACUUUAUCCGGCGUUACCGACGGGUCUCCAAGGCAAUGUGGAGAUAAACAGUACGUGCAGCUCCUGCUCCUGCUCCGGUCCUGCCGGUGGCCGUGAUGCUGCAGGACUGCACAGAGGAACAGAGAGAGAGAGGCGGAGCUCCGGAGCUCUGGGGUUUUUCCGUGCGAUGUUUUUCUGACACUCAGAACCCUGUUUGUUCCACGGAGGUGACGGUUCUCCUCGUACCCUCACUCAUCCACAGACAGGGAGAGGAAACUGCAGUCAGAUAUUGUCUAUGUUGAUCAGCUUGCUGGAGCUUUAAAGCUCAAACACUGGAUAUAAACCUUAAUGAUGUGGAGUUUAAAAAAAGAGGAAGCUGAUGGAAAUCCAGAUCAUCUCUGAACUCACGUCUUUCUUCUUUUUCUCAGUCUAUGUUAAAAAUAUAAUUUUGAAAAUAAUUUGCACACACCAGUCGUAACAUUAAGUCCACCUGCCUGAUGUUGUGUAGAUCCUCUAUGUUCCUCAUGAACAGCUCUGACUCUGAGGCUGGACUCCACCAGAGCUCUGAAGGUGUGUGUGGAAUCUGACACCAAGACGGAGGUGGAGGUGUGAAGUAGGGUGGUGGAUCAUAAAAGACUAAAAGAUCGCUCAGGUACUGCGGCGCGAGACCAUUUAGUGCUUUAUAGGUUAGUAACAGUAUUUUAUAAUCAAUGUGAAAUUUGACUGGGAGCCAAUGUAGUGUGGCUAAAAUAGGAGUGAUGUGUUCAUAUCUUCUGGUUCUAGUUAGGACUCUAGCUGCUGCAUUCUGGACUAACUGGAGCUUGUUUCUGCUCCUGCUGGAACAUCCAGACAGUAAGACAUUACAAUAAUCCAACCUAGAGGUAACAAAAGCAUGAACUAGUUUCUCUGCAUCAUGAAGCACAACAUAUUUCGUAUCUUAGCGAUAUUUCUGAGAUGGAAGAAGGCUACCCGAGUGAUAUUAAACUGAUGAAUAUGUCUCAGCUCACUCUGUAACGUGUGUGUGUGUGUGUGUGUGUGUGUUUAUCUUUCCUCAUGUGGAGAUUAUUGACCUGACCUCUGUUUUUCAGCACUGAUAUGGACUUUGAGUAAGUUUUUCUCAGUGAUGAAAUAAAGGCUGGUUGGAAAAUUUAACUCUUUGUGUUGAGUGUUUCUGAUUAUGAACACAGACAUGUUUUACAAAAUUACAUUAAUAAUAAUAAUAAUAAUAAUAAUAAUAAAGGAUUGUAUUUUACACACAGUUACACAAUCACAGUCAGCAGCAGUUUAUAGCCAUGAGUUUACUCUGUAUUGCCCCCUAGUGGAAUAACAGCAAAACACCCCCACCCCACCCCCCACCUUCUCUCUUUAGAUGUUAGACUUUAACCCUUUCUCCUGUUCAUUUCCACCCCUGUAUUAUGCCCCGUUGAGCUCAGGGGGCAGACAGUGGGGUAGUUUCCAGCUCCUGCUCAGUGUGAAUCUUCAGCAUGUUCUGUUGAUGUCACCCAAAAGAGCAGAAGAUCUUUCCAUCAUGGAUCAGUCGCUUUGAGAUGCUAUCAGUGCGUUUCUACUGAACAGAGAUGUUCAGUUAAUAGAUCGCUGAUUUUCAUCUUUUAGAACCAGCACCGGUCUGAACAGUAGAAGGUUCCAGAAGCAGACGGUGGUGUUUAUACAUCACUUUACAUUCACACACCAGAUGAUGUCCAGACUCUACACACUGAUCCUACACUCACUCUGUCCAGGAGUCCUGAAAAACACACACAGGGUUUGUUGUUGGUUGUUGUCAUUAACAGUAUACAUAAUUUCAUUUAAAUAUAUUUAUUUUAAAGUUCGAUGAUCAAAUGAGGGAAAUUCUUGUUGUUAUAAUUAUAAUAAUAAUAAAGGAAUUAAAUUUCAGGUAGAAAAUAUCAGAGCUGCAGCUGAACUGUGGGUUUUCAGGACAUCACUGAUUUCUAAGAAAAAAUCUUUAGUGAGUUUGGAGUUCGGUCACUCACUCGGCCUGCCGCUCGAUCGGUCAGGGUCAGACACAUCGAUCUCUUUCCACAGGAAAACAAACACCAACGAAGUUUGGAACUUUUCACAAAUUUACCUGAAAAAACUGCAAGACUCUGUAUCCUGAUAAAGAUGAAAAAAAAAAACAUAUCCUGUUUUUUUGUAUGAUUUAAAAUGAACAGAUUCAUUGUUUUACAUGAAUGUUGUUCACUGUAUUACAUUAUAUUUAUUUUUAUUAUUUUUUAAAUAUUUAUUUAUUAUUUUUAUAUGUUGAUGUCAUGAAAUAAAUCCCAUCUGUGAGUUUAUAAUGUUUAAAACUGCUCCCUGUUUACAUCAAAGUAGAAAAAAAUCCCACAUCUACAUCACAGGACACCCUUCACUUUCCCAGUUACUCCAUCACACACUCACACACAUACACACACACACACACACACACAUACACACACACACACACACAUACACUCACACACACUCACACACACACUCACAUACACACUCACAUACACUCACACACACAUACACACACACACACACACACACACA